AGAGUUUGAUCCUGGCUCAGGAUGAACGCUAGCUACAGGCUUAACACAUGCAAGUCGAACGGCAGCACAGGGAGCUUGCUCCCGGGUGGCGAGUGGCGCACGGGUGAGUAAUACAUCGGAACGUGUCCUGUUGUGGGGGAGUAACUGCUCGAAAGGGUGGCUAAUACCGCAUGAGACCUGAGGGUGAAAGCGGGGAUCGCAAGACCUCGCGCAAUUGGAGCGGCCGAUGCCCGAUUAGCUAGUUGGUGAGGUAAAGGCUCACCAAGGCGACGAUCGGUAGCUGGUCUGAGAGGACGACAGCACACUGGGACUGAGACACGGCCANACUCCUACGGGAGGCA
rnacentral:rRNA from 1 species